rnacentral:rRNA from 1 species
UACAGAGGGGCAAGCGUUAUUCGGAAUUAUUGGGCGUAAAGGGCGCGUAGGCGGCCUGGCAAGUGGAUGGUGAAAUCCCUCGGCUUAACCGAGGAACUGCCAUCCAGACUGCUUGGCUUGAGUUCGGGAGAGGUGAGUGGAACUGCGAGUGUAGAGGUGAAAUUCGUAGAUAUUCGCAAGAACACCAGUGGCGAAGGCGGCUCACUGGCCCGAUACUGACGCUGAGGCACGAAAGCGUGGGGAGCAAACAGGG